rnacentral:rRNA from 1 species
AAUCAACGCUGGCGGCGUGCCUCAGACAUGCAAGUCGAACGCGAAAUUUCCCUUCGGGGAAGAAAGUAGAGUGGCGCACGGGUGAGUAACACGUAGGUAAUUUGCCUUCGGGUGGGGAAUAACUCAGGGAAACUUGAGCUAAUACCGCAUAAUGCAGCGGCUCGACAUCGAGACAGUUGUUAAAGCGGGGGAUCGCAAGACCUCGCGCCUGAAGAGAAGCCUGCGGCAGAUUAGCUAGUUGGUAGGGUAAUGGCCUACCAAGGCGACGAUCUGUAA